UCUGUCCAUCCUCAUUUUGGGAAGGUCUCCCGCGUGGGAGGAUUAAGGUGUGGGUCUCUUCACGGAGAAAUUCGUAAGCCCGGUUUUCUCCUUUAACACCCCCCCCCAAUUUCCUUCUGCUCUUUUGAAAUUGAGGUCCCAUCACCCCUGCAAGCGACACUACCCGCCGGGUGGGGCUGGGAAAGAGGGAAAGGAGCCUGGAGGACGUGACACCAGAAGGUUCCCUCCACCCCCUGCUUCCCCGCCACAGCCGCUCUCCAAAUUGGCGCGGAACCGGCUUCUCCACAGCCCGCUCUUGGAGGCUCGGUCAGGCGCCUGGCGGGCUGAGUCCAGGACAAGCCUUUCCCACCCUAGUUGGACUGGGGAGUGCAUGAAUGACCCAGAAGAUCGGGCUAAAGGGUGCUAGGGUCCUCUGCACAUUCCUUAACGCACUCACGUUCCCACUGGCCAUUCAGCUAAGGAAAUGAAAGCAUGGACGUAAAGUUACUGAGAUACUAGUGUAUUUCAGAAGAUAGUGCAGUGUUUCUUUUUAAAGGUUCAGGCCACCUUCUGGUAAUGUUAGUUUUAGUUGGAACUUGAAGAUUAUGGAUGACUAUGUUCUUGAUUUUACUUUUCUUCUCCCCCAUUUAGAGGUUUCAUAGGCCUCAAAGAAGAGAAUGUCAAGACGCAGUAGCCGUUUACAAGCUAAGCAGCAGCAUGCCCGGCCCAACCAGCCAGACUCUCCACAAGAAGCCCAGAUAAUUCAGGCCAAGAAGAGAAAAACAGCACAG
rnacentral:lncRNA from 1 species